UACGAAGGGGGCUAGCGUUGUUCGGAAUUACUGGGCGUAAAGCGUGCGCAGGCGGCUCUGCAAGACAGAUGUGAAAUCCCCGGGCUCAACCUGGGAACUGCAUUUGUGACUGCAGGGCUAGAGUACGGUAGAGGGGGAUGGAAUUCCGCGUGUAGCAGUGAAAUGCGUAGAUAUGCGGAGGAACACCGAUGGCGAAGGCAAUCCCCUGGACCUGUACUGACGCUCAUGCACGAAAGCGUGGGGAGCAAACAGG
rnacentral:rRNA from 1 species